rnacentral:lncRNA from 1 species
GGCAAGAGGGCCUGACAGGGAUCUCAGAGGACAAACAGAGUCUCACCAGACCCGACGGAACCGUUCCAGGAAGAACUGCAAUCCAGUGACUAAGCAGCUAUGACAGAAUGUGUGUAUUUUGGGACGUGUUUCUACAUAUCAACAGCAAGGCAAGAGGAAUCCAGGUCAUUUGUUGAAUAUUUUAAACUUCCAGAAAAUGACUUUUUGAUAAAUCACCCAAAUACUUCAAAUUGACAUUUUUAAAGGCAAAUUUCCCAGAAA